rnacentral:piRNA from 1 species
UGAGGUGAACCUACAAGGACUAUUUGA